AUUUAGGCCCAAAUGAUGACUGUCCCUCACUAAUGGAGCGGCUCUUAAAAUAAAUUAAUAAAUUAAGACCAAACUAUUAACAACAGAAUUGUAGGCAAUUUCAUAGGCUUUGUUUUGCUUUUCUCACCAUGGAAAUCACACAACAUCUAAAUCUAACUCAGAGAAGGAAGUUUCCACAAAGAUUCUCCUUCAACUGUCCGAAACAAUGCCAAACUUCCACACCUAGAGUAGGAUGAGGGUGACAGGGGGGUGAGGAAGUAGAUGGGGAAUCUUUGUCCAGGGGGAAAGUUUAUGGCUGCCACCACUGUUCUUUGUUUCCAGAGGCCUCUGCUUGGCACUAUUUGACGUUUGGGAGUCUCUGCCUCUAUCCAUAAGCCAGAAGAUUAGAGGCCUUUCUAGGACACUUUGUGACACUUCAGGCAAAACCCUCAAAAAUCCUUAAAUAAUACACUAGAUACAUUGCUCAGUUUUUCUACCUAUUAGUAGAGAUGUAAUGUAGACCCACGUUUUACAGAAGUAUUUUAAUUCAACAGGUAGAAGACGGAACUGAUAUGAAACCUAUUAUGUACGUGUCUGGGAGUUCAAAUUUUUAUUAACAAACCGUGAUGAAUACUGAAGAAUGGAUGAUCAGGGUUGUUGAAUUGGUGAAGACAUUUCAAUAUUAAGAUGACCUUUCAUUUAGGACCUGGGAGGGAGUUCAAGGAGAACCAGUCAAGUGACUAAUAGAACUCCUGGACGCUCUUUCGUGCUGCCUUUGAGGACGGAUUUGUGAAAUUCCCUAAUGAAUCACCGUAUACCUCGUUGAAGGCCUGGCACCAUCCGGGCAGUGCAGUGAGAUGUGCCCGAGCCCCCACACAGCCGUCACACGGGAGCAGGUGUACUCAUUCAGCCUCACCUCCUGUGAGGCAGGGUCUGGGUUGGACCCUGGCCCCGGUGAGCUCUUCUUAGGAUGCUUCGAUCUGUUGCUGGAGGACAAAGGUCUAGUGGUCUUAAAGCCCACACGUGAGUUCUUCUGCUUCUUACAGAGCUUCCCUGUGUUUGCCUGCUCUCAAGAAACAGGUGUAGGUUUGGCGAGGUGGGCCUGACCCAUGGACACCUGGCCUUCUUUGACGUCAUUGCCGCCUGUCAUCAGAGCCUGGGGCCAGCCUGGACUCGCUCCACAAUUGUCACAUGUUUUCUGUGGGUGUAUUUAGACUCACUUCAGUAAGGACCACUACACAAGCAUGUUCUUAUACAUAUAAUUAGUUUGCAAAGUUCCCGCGUUAUUUUGUGGUUGAUUUAGUCAGGGCCAUGCUGCUGGAUUAUUCCUUCUUUUAAGCUAUUCACAAUAAUAUCAACAUUCCUUAAAAAGCCCUCUGAGUGAUAUUCGGAAUGAUGAUACCAUCUUUGUGGAUGUCCAGUUGCUUCACCUGAACUCAUAUUCCUUUUCUGAAUAAAGGGUUGGCUGUGUGGACUGCCGUCCUUCAGGAGGCACACUUAAUAUUCCAGAGCCACCUCUGGGAGACCUCCAGACCUCCCUUCUGGGAGCAGGCAAAUAUGGAGGUGAUGGGCCCCAGCAAACAGACCCUGCCUCCUUCUCCCUCUCCAGGUCAGACGCAAGACCUGGGCUGGCCCAGAUCACAGCCGUUCCUCACGGGCACCAACGUCAGGGGAUUGAACAUCACCUGAUGUAUUGGGCUAUAGCCUCUGUCAGAGCAAACAUUUUGGCUAACGAGGGUUAGGCACCGCUGGGGGCUCGCCUGUGUGCAUGCGACCAUGUGACGUGUGUGUGGGUACCACAGACAUCCAGGAGCCACAGCACAUCCAGACUGUCACAGUGAUGACAUGGCUCUGAAGGCAGGGCCCCCCUCAGGCGCUGGCUCAUGGCUGCGCUCUGUGGGACAGAGUUAAGCCGCAGGAUGGCUGGAGCAUAGAACGUGGAAGGCAGGACGUGGCUGGUCUUACAGGAGAGGCAAUGCUGGCAGUGGCGACAUGAGCAAGAGAUGGGGAAACUGUGAGCAGCAGGUUUCUUGGACCUGGGGCGGGUGGUGUCAGGGAUGCUUCCUUGGGAACUUACUGCUUUCUUGUUCAAUGGGCCAUGGCUUGGUCUUGCAGACAUGUGCCAAGGCCCCAGUGGGACCUGGGGUUGCCCAGGUCUCCAUACCACGUGCUUGUUUGUCAUAACUCAAGCUUGCAUCCUUUCCACUUUCCAAGGAGCAAGGGUAUCGGUGGUCCCUGCAAACUACAUCCCAGAUCUUUGCGGUUUGCAAAGGGAUGACCCUGGGGGACCCGGCUUCCUGAUGCAGUACUUUCUGACCUCAGGCUGUCUCCUCUUGGCAACCUGGUCCAUUUGGUAAAUAGGGCCCGUGUUGGCUAAUUCAGCCGCAUCGAAGUUAAUAAGAUCAAAUAAGGUCCUUUCAUAUUACAUUAGUUCACAUCAAAUCCAAUUAGAUAUUCCUGAAAAUCUGAGUUGACAGAGAAGCCUGCCUGUACAAGGAAGUUUUCUAGAAAAUGAACCCUGAGUCAUGGAGCUGCAACUCGAAUAUUCGGCUUGUAGCUGAGACUCUCCUGUAAAGUCCCCUCCCUUGGUGAAUGUUCUGUGUCCUGCUGUUGCCAAGUGGGGUCAGCCCCAGGGCUGGCCUCCUGUCCGUGACUCUGCACAUGGCCUCAGCACGAGCAGAUGGGCCACUGGCAUGGAGGCUGAACCAGGGAACCGACAGCAUCUGGUCCCAGAUGGAAUUUCUAAGGGGAUCCAGGAUGAAGCACAGAGCCCCUAGGUGUAUGGCUCCAAUGUAGAGAGAUGUCGAUGGUGCUGAGAUGACCACUGGCCCCCCCUCUCCCCCGCCAAUGCUAACAGAUGCUGAGAAAUUCCAGUACCAGCUGAGUGAGGGGUGUUAGCCCAGGGAGGUGGAAGGCAGCAAAGUUGCCCCUAGUUCUGGCUGCUCCCCACUGUGGAUCCAACAAUGGCAGCGUGAAGACAUCUAGCUUCAACCACUUGUUUCAGGAAAACACUUGAAAAGGCCGAUCUCACAAAGUCUGCACUUGUUUCCAAAGUUCAAGUCACAUCUGAGAAAGGAAAGAUCAACAAGGCAAAAAGAGCCUCUCAGCCCAGCCCCUGCUCACCAGCCCUGGGGUCCAGGGUCCAGAGGGAAGGACUCAGGGGGUUGGGGAAGAUAGUCUCAGCAUUCCCUCCAGAGGGGUGUCCCUGUUUUGGUUUAUUCUCCUGUAGCCUGCAGAUAUCAAACAGAAUAUGUGGGCUCUCUGGGCACCUCAGGGCUUCAGCAGGUGGUGGGGGCACUCCCAGCCUGUGUUUUUGAGGGAAGAUGUCCUCCAUGGUUAAAGACCCCAGGUCUGGGUGUUCUGGGGGCUGGGCUGGCUGGAAGUGUGUUCAGAAGUCAGUGUCAGUGCUCAGGGCUCUAUGGUCAGUGGUGGGCCUAGGGUCAGUGACCCCAGUGCCCCUCCUGCACAGAGGUGUGUCUGUUUGUUUGUUUGGUCUCUCUAACCCUAGUAACUGGCUGGGGCCUGUGCCAUUUUUAACUCAGGAGAUGUUACAAAUCGAAUAUUAGAACUAGUCCAGCCCAGUACUCCCCCGCCCUCUGCUGCUGUGAUGUCCCCCUCGAUGCCUGCUGGGUACCGUGCACCUGGAGGCCCACCAGUGGUCAAUGAGAAUUCCUUGAUGCUUGAUGUGUUAAGGAACUCGUCUUGGUGUCAGUGUGAAGGCUGAGGAGACAGUUGCUGGGGUAGGGGGUCAGGGUGAGCAGGGGAAGGGAUUGGCUUCGGCGGCUGGAACCUCCCUAAGACUCGGACCCUGGGAGGGGCCUCGAGGUGGUGUUCUCGGGUAAGGUGUGCACCUUCCCUUCCAGGCCAUUUGAUCCUGCUCUGACCCACCCCACAGAAGUCUUCCUGGGAGGGUCCCUUUAUAGGUAACUCUGAGGUGUCUGAUGAGUCCAGUGUCACCUGCAGACACUCCCCAUCAGGAUUCUGACCCUAAAGCACGAGAUGCACGUGAGUACUUGGGAACACCCCUCUGCAGGACAGCACCCUCAGUCAGGACCGAGGGCAGGAGCCCCCUGAUGUGGUGCUCUCAGAGCAGAGCCUUUCCUGUGUCCAGAGGAGGCACUUGCUGGGCUGAUGUCCAUCAUCUCCCUGCUGUCAUGUCCUUGCCUCUCCCCACAGGGACCCUUGCAGGAAAAGCUCCUUGUGGUUUAAGCCUUUCCAUUUCCUCCUUAACUUCCCUCUUGAGGAAGGUUCUGAAGGACAUUCUCAUUCCCUUGUAAAGCCACUGUUUCAGAGUUGGAAGCAUCACCAGGAGACACCUGAGCCCAACGUUGUCUCUGCUGCUACUUAAUCAGAGGGGCUCGGUGGGGGGGGGAUCAGAACUACUGCAGGCCCCACCAGUGUCCCUCCUGAGAAUGGAUCCCAGCAGGGCACUGGGCCUCACUGGCUUCAGGGCAGCCCCUCACUCACAGCUGGUGUUCCUCCUUCCUCUCGGCUGCUGUGGGGUUUUAAGUCAGUUUUUGUGUGCGGUGUAAGGUAGGGGUCUGGUGGUGUUCUGCUCUGGGUUGCCAGGUUUCCCAGCACCACUCGCUGAAGAGGCUGUCCUUUCACCAUUGCGUGUUCUUGGCGCCUUUGUUAUAACUUAACUGACCACAUAUGUACGGGCUUGUUUCUGGACUCUGCAUUCUGCUCCAUCGGUCUCUCUGUCCUAACCCAUCACAUACUGUUGUGGUUACUACAGCUUUGAUGUAGUUUGAGAUCAGGGAAUGCGAUGCCUCCGGAUUUGUUCUUCUUUGUACAUGUGGGAUCCUCUGUGGUUUUGUACGUGUUUUAGGAUUGUUCUAGUUCUGUGCAAAGUGGCACUGGAACGUUGAUCCAGAUUGCACCGAAUCUGUACAUCUCUUUGGGUGAAAUGGACAAUUUUAUAAUAUUCAUUUUUAUAAUCCUUGAGCACGUAGUAUCUUUCCAUUUAUUUGUGUCUUUUUGACUUUCUUUUUUGAGAAGGAGUGGGAGGAGGCAGCAGA